GCCAAGUCUGAUCGUUUUUGCACUUACCCGGUGAGGCGGGGGGGGCGAGCCCCGAGGGGCUCUCGCUUCUGGCGCCAAGCGCCCGGGCGCGACCCGCUCCAGGGACAGCGUCAGGCGGGGAGUUUGACUGGGGCGAUACACCUGUCAAAGCGUAACGCAGGUGUCCUAAGGCGAGCUCAGGGAGGCCAGAAACCUCCCGUGGAGCAGAAGGGCAAAAGCUCGCUUGUUAGACUCUGAGACUGAAGUUUUGAGGGACUGAAGUGUUGAGUAACAUUUAGAUUGAUUAUUAUGCUAUG
rnacentral:ncRNA from 1 species